rnacentral:rRNA from 1 species
AUUGAACGCUGGCGGCAGGCCUAACACAUGCCAGUCGAGCGGAUGAAGGGAGCUUGCUCCUGGAUUCAGCGGCGGACGGGUGAGUAAUGCCUAGGAAUCUGCCUGGUAGUGGGGGAUAACGUCCGGAAACGGGCGCUAAUACCGCAUACGUCCUGAGGGAGAAAGUGUGGGAUCUUCGGACCUCACGCUAUCAGAUGAGCCUAGGUCGGAUUAGCUAGUUGGUGGGGUAAAGGCCUACCAAGGCGACGAUCCGUAACUUGUCUGAGAGGAUGAUCAGUCACAUUGGAACUGAGACACGGUCCAGACUCCUACGGGAGGCAGCAGUGGGGAAUAUUGGACAAUGGGCGAAAGCCUGAUCCAGCCAUGCCGCGUGUGUGAAGAAGGUCUUCGGAUUGUAAAGCACUUUAAGUUGGGAGGAAGGGCAGUAAGUUAAUACCUUGCUGUUUUGACGUUACCAACAGAAUAAGCACCGGCUAACUUCGUG